rnacentral:lncRNA from 1 species
AGGGAUUAAAGAUCCCUCGAGGGCAGAGGGCAGUGAUCAUGUGUGCUUGCUCAAGGACCAGACAGGCUUGAAAUCCUGGCAAGUGUCCUAACCUCUCUUAGCCUCAGCUUCCAGUAUCUGUAAAGCUCUAUGCCCUAGGGCUGUGGGAGAAUUCAGUGAAAGGCCCAGGAACCUACCUCGGCCCCUCCUCUGGCACUGAGCCUCGCACUGACCGGAGGCCGCCGUGGACGUCACAGACUUGGCCCUUGUUCUCAGGAGCUUCAGUCUAACCAGGAAGCAGAUAAAUAGGCAAUUAC